GGAUGUGAGGGCGAUCUGGCUGCGACAUCUGUCACCCCAUUGAUUGCCAGGGUUGAUUCUGCUGAUCUGGCUGGCUAGGCGGGUGUCCCCCUCCUCCCUCACCACUCCAUGUGUGUCCCUCCCGAAGCUGCGCGCUCGGUCGAAGAGGACGGCCUUCCCCGAAUAGAGACGGACCGGUCUUCAGUCGAGGGUAUACAAGUAGCUGCGCUCCCCUGCUAGAACCUCCAAACAAGCUCUCAAGGUCCAUUUGUAGGAGAACGUAGGGUAGUCAAGCUUCCAAGACUCCAGACACAUCCAAAUGAGGCGCUGCACGUGGCAGUCUGCCUUUCUUU
rnacentral:snRNA from 1 species